rnacentral:rRNA from 1 species
AGUGGCGGACGGGUGAGUAAUGCUUGGGAACUUGCCUUUGCGAGGGGGAUAACAGUUGGAAACGACUGCUAAUACCGCAUAAUGUCUUCGGACCAAACGGGGCUUCGGCUCCGGCGCAAAGAGAGGCCCAAGUGAGAUUAGCUAGUUGGUAAGGUAACGGCUUACCAAGGCGACGAUCUCUAGCUGUUCUGAGAGGAAGAUCAGCCACACUGGGACUGAGACACGGCCCAGACUCCUACGGGAGGCAGCAGUGGGGAAUAUUGCACAAUGGGGGAAACCCUGAUGCAGCCAUGCCGCGUGUGUGAAGAAGGCCUUCGGGUUGUAAAGCACUUUCAGUUGUGAGGAAAAGUUAGUAGUUAAUACCUGCUAGCCGUGACGUUAACAACAGAAGAAGCACCGGCUAACUCCGUGCCAGCAGCCGCGGUAAUACGGAGGGUGCGAGCGUUAAUCGGAAUUACUGGGCGUAAAGCGCACGCAGGCGGUUUGUUAAGCUAGAUGUGAAAGCCCCGGGCUCAACCUGGGAUGGUCAUUUAGAACUGGCAGACUAGAGUCUUGGAGAGGGGAGUGGAAUUCCAGGUGUAGCGGUGAAAUGCGUAGAUAUCUGGAGGAACAUCAGUGGCGAAAGGCGACUCCCUGGCCAAAGACUGACGCUCAUGUGCGAAAGUGUGGG